AUGAUCAUGGUUCUUGCCCAAAUGCGUUUCUAGGGGCUGAGACCCACUGGAGGUACGGAUUACAAGUAAGGAGACUGCCUUCUUUCUUCUUUUUUUAAACAUUCCAACCCUUGACUUAUGCAACAAAAUGCAUCACAUCUUCCAGUGGAGUCACUGGGAGGCAAGGCCCUUAUUUCAAUGAUGCUGUCAAUGCUCAAGGCUGUUUUUGGAAAGGCCUUCAAAGCCAGCAUCCUAAACAAAAUGACCAUGCUUGCCUCCAAUGAAGGUUAACAGACACAGCUCUGGCCUCAUAGAACCCCACUGUCUAAGACGUGUUAGUCCCAUCUCAGCUUGAUCAUUAAGAGAAAAAAAAAAAAUCUUCAAUAAAAAAAUCCCUGGGGAACUCCCACGAGGUACGAAUUAUUGGGAAGCUAUAAUUUAGAGCAAUGCAGUCCAACAGAAAUAUAAUCUGAGCCACGUAUGUUAUUUAAAUUUUUCUAGCGCCCACAUUUUAAAAAGGUAAAAAGAAACAGUUAACAUUAAUUUUAAUAAGAGA